rnacentral:misc_RNA from 1 species
AACGCACAUUGCGCCCUCUGGUAUUCCGGGGGGCAUGCCUGUUCGAGCGUCAUUAAAACUACUCAAGCUAAGGUUUUUACCUUCUGCUUGGUCUUGGGUUUGAGGAUUCAAAAUCCUCUCUCCGAAAUCCAGUGGCGAAUUGUUUGAGCUGUAGACGUAGUAAAACAUUCUACCCGUUGCAAGCGAGAAUAAUAUUCAGCCAUAACCCCCAUACUUUUCUAGUUUGACCUCGGAUCAGGUAGGGAUACCCGCUGAACUUAA